rnacentral:tRNA from 1 species
GAGGGAAUAGCUCAGUGGUAGAGCUCAUGCUUAGCAGGCAUGAGGUCCUGGGUUCAAUCCCCAAUGCCUCCG